CUCUCUCUCACGAUCGAGCGAUGGCGGCGGAGGGAUCACUCCAAGCAGAGCUUCAACACGUCGCGCUCCGAUCCACGGACGGUCCAAGCAGAGCUUCUCGUUUCUCUUUUCACUUCCGUUUUGGAAUUCGACUAAAAUCUCCUCUCAAAUUUGCUCUAACUUUUUCGUUAACUCGUUCCUCCCACUCAAUGUUCCGAUACCUGCUCGGCAGUGCUUCUACUAAUUCAACGAAAAUGAAGAGAAAUCCAGUUGAAGUCUUCAAGAAACGUGGUUUGUUAUUGUUGUUGUUGCUACAUGAUGAUGAAGAUUGUUGCGGGUUUGAAGAUUGAUGAAUGGAGCAAUGGUGUUAUGCGGAUUACUGAUGAUUGAAGAUCGUUGCAUGGAUGUUGCAGAUUAUGAUUGAAGGAUUACAGUUGAAGAUUAUUGGGAACUUGAUAAGAAAUUGCAUAUUGUCGUGCUCUGUUCUCCACUGGUCUCUCCCUCUCUCUUGUUUGUUCUUGUUGCUGAUAUAGAUUGCUAGAAGAUUGAGAUGAAAAGGAGAGAUUAAUUUGGUUGAUUGAGAAGGUUUAUGCUCUCACUAAGGAAAGAGAUACUCUUCGCCGAGAGCAGAAUAGAAAAAGUGACGCAGCUGCUCUAUUGAAGGAAAAGGAUGAAAUAAUUAAUCAAGUUAUGGCAAAAGGUGAAGAGCUUUCCAAAAAGAAGGCCACUCAAGAAUCUAUAAUAAGGAAACUUAGGGCUCAGGUAUGCAGAGUACUUAUUUAAUCUUCCUACAAUCUUAAAUCCUUUUUUUACGUAAAUAAUAAAUCUUAUAUUUACCUUUCUUCAUGAAAGCUAGAUUAGAGAUCUUGAGGAGGAGAAAAAAGGUUUGACUACUAAGCUUCAGAUAACUGAAUACCUAGAGCAUUAUUGAAAGUUAUUAUUUGCUUGCUAUUUUUUUUAAAGUUAUUAUUCUGUUGCAAAAUAUUUUCUCUGUGAUUUAGUUUGACUAAAAUUCUCAGGUUCGACAAUUCUUGAGUGAAAUCAUGUCUUAAAUGCAGUUUUGUGUACAUGUGACUAACUUCAAUAAUGAAUUUCAGAUUUCGUGUCUUAGGGCAGAACAAACUCAAUUAAGUAGGACCCUAGAAAAGGAGAGAAAAAGAGCAGCUGAAAGUAGGCAGGAAUAUCUUGCGGCAAAGGAGGAAGCUGACACUCAAGAAGGCCGUGCGAGACAACUUGAGGAAGAGAUUAGAGACCUAAGGCAGAAACACAAGCAUGAGUUGCAUGAGGCAUUGAUUAUUCAUAACUUGGGUUUUUUUUUUUUAAAAUUGAAUCCUCUUGUAUAGAAUCCAUGUUGACAUAAUCUAGGUUCUGAGAUUUUGUAUGAGUUAUUGUUCUGAGUAUUCUCUUAGUGUAUGGAUUGAAGAUAUGGAUUGAAGAUGUAUAUUGAUGUUGUUGUUUCAAAUUUUAUAUUGAAGCUACAAAUUAGUUUCAAGUUUAUGAAAUUUUGGUGGAAAUUCUGGUAAAAACGUGGUGCAAAAAUGGUGAAAAUC